AGGGUGAGCUUGUGAGUGGACAGUGGGACUCCCAGGAAUCAGUAACUUUCCUCUAAGCUAGCUGGUCACUAGAGGAUUGUGUCCAAAUUGCUGGGAAGCUCUUCUCAUAGGUGCAGCGGCAGGAUGUCUGACCCUGCAUCACCAGCCAAUGUGCAGCUAAUCUCAUUUAUCUGUCCACCUCUGCUGACUGACUCCAUGGAGAUUACAGGGGGUUCACAUCGGAAACCCUGGAUCCUGGCAGCCUCACCAGGGAUAAAGUGAUGGCAAGGAUGGCUGCAAAGGACACCCCACUGGCCUGGGGACUGAGCUGACUCUUGUGGCAGGUCCUUCACACUGUGACGGGAAAGAAAAAGGUGAUUCGCACUAACAUCGAUUUUUGAAGUCUGAUUCCAGUUUUGAUAAGACAAAAACAUGCUUGCAGCUUGGGCUCUUCAGAAUUCUGGGGGCUGGCAGGAAGUGAAGAGAACAGGGAGUAGCAAUCUGUCCACAAUGGGAA